rnacentral:rRNA from 1 species
UACGUAGGGUGCAAGCGUUUGUCCGGAAUUAUUGGGCGUAAAGAGCUCGUAGGCGGUUUGUCGCGUCUGCCGUGAAAGUCCGGGGCUCAACUCCGGAUCUGCGGUGGGUACGGGCAGACUAGAGUGAUGUAGGGGGAGACUGGAAUUCCUGGUGUAGCGGUGAAAUGCGCAGAUAUCAGGAGGAACACCAAUGGCGAAGGCAGCUCGCUGGGACGGUACUGACGCUGAGGCGCGAAAGCGUGGGGAGCAAACAGG